GCACCUGCAGAUAAGGCGACAAGGAUCGCUGAUGGGGCUUGCAGCAUUGGCUUGCGAACAGGACAAGCAAGGAGGCUGCGGCCAAGCUGGAGCCCCCGCCCACCAGGAUCGCGGCACUCUCUGAGGACAAAGUACUUCCGAGGAAGUCUUCCUCCCCUCUGGUCUUCCCUGCCUCCUGGCUGGGGACAAGGCUUGCAACCCUGCUGUAGGGCUGCAAGGCAGGGCUGCCAGGGUGAGGCUCAGAGGCUUGCUCAAGGCUACACAGCUGACAGAAAUUGACAAGGUGAUCCUAACAUUCAUAUGGGAAGGGAAGGGACCCAGAAUAUCCAACACCACCUUGAAAAAGAAGAAGUUGGACUCACACUUCCCAAUUUCAAAACUUACUACAAAGGCAAGGUCAACGAGACUGGGUGGUACUGGCAUAAGGACAGACAUAUAGAUCAGUGGAACAAAAAUGAGAGUUCAGAAAUAAACCCUCCAACUUA
rnacentral:lncRNA from 1 species